rnacentral:rRNA from 1 species
UGCUAGCAGSSGMGGKRRYWYCAGCUCCAAUAGCGUAUAUUUAAGUUGUUGCAGUUAAAAAGCUCGUAGUUGAAUUUCGGGGUCAGUAGAUUGGUCGUGCCACUGGUAUGUACUGGUCUUACUGGCUCCCCCUUCCUGAUGAACCGUAAUGCCAUUAACUUGGUGUUGCGGGGAGACUGGACUGUUACUUUGAAAAAAUUAGAGUGUUUAAAGCAGGCUAACGCUUGAAUACAUUAGCAUGGAAUAAUGAAAUAGGACGUUCGAUCUUAUUUUGUUGGUUUCUAGGAUUGACGUAAUGAUUAAUAGGGAUAGUUGGGGGCAUUAGUAUUCAAUUGUCAGAGGUGAAAUUCUUGGAUUUAUUGAAGACUAACUACUGCGAAAGCAUUUGCCAAGGAUGUUUUCAUUAAUCGAGAACGAAAGUUAGGGGAUCGAAGACGAUCAGAUACCGUCGUAGUCUUAACCAUAAACUAUGCCGACUAGGGAUCGGAUGAUGUUARUWKYYYAAUGACUCAUUCGGCGCCUUACCGGGAAAACAA